AUAGCUCACUAGUCGAGUGACUCUGCGCCGAAAAUGUACCGGGGCUAAAUACACCACCGAAGCUGCGGAUUGAUACCAAUGGUAUCAGUGGUAGGGGAGCGUUCUAAGGACAGUGAAGUCAGACCGGAAGGACUGGUGGAGUGCUUAGAAGUGAGAAUGCCGGUAUGAGUAGCGAAAGACGGGUGAGAAUCCCGUCCACCGAAUGCCUAAGGUUUCCUGAGGAAGGCUCGUCCGCUCAGGGUUAGUCAGGACCUAAGCCGAGGCCGACAGGCGUAGGCGAUGGACAACAGGUUGAUAUUCCUGUACCACCUCUUUAUCGUUUGAGCAAUGGAGGGACGCAGAAGGAUAGAAGAAGCGUGCGAUUGGUUGUGCACGUCCAAGCAGUUAGGCUGAUAAGUAGGCAAAUCCGCUUAUCGUGAAGGCUGAGCUGUGAUGGGGAAGCUCCUUAUGGAGCGAAGUCUUUGAUUCCCCGCUGCCAAGAAAAGCUUCUAGCGAGAUAAAAGGUGCCUGUACCGCAAACCGACACAGGUAGGCGAGGAGAGAAUCCUAAGG
rnacentral:rRNA from 1 species